GUCUGUAUGGCAUUGCGGUAAGUGCUUGACUCGCAUUCAAGAGCUCGCAUGUUCGAUUCUGCCCUGAAGUUC